rnacentral:rRNA from 1 species
AAUGCUGGCGGCAGGCCUAACACAUGCAAGUCGAGCGGACAACGUUCAAACGUUGUUAGCGGCGAACGGGUGAGUAAUACGUGAGAAUCUACCCAUCCCAACGUGAUAACAUAGUCAACACCAUGUCAAUAACGUAUGAUUCCUGCAACAGGUAAAGAUUUUAUCGGGGAUGGAUGAGCUCACGCUAGAUUAGCUAGUUGGUGAGAUAAAAGCCCACCAAGGCCAAGAUCUAUAGCUGGUCUGGAAGGAUGGACAGCCACAUUGGGACUGAGACAAGGCCCAACCCUCUAAGGAGGGCAGCAGUGAGGAAUAUUGGACAAUGGGCGUAAGCCUGAUCCAGCCAUGCCGCAUGAGUGAUUGAAGGUCCAACGGACUGUAAAACUCUUUUCUCCAGAGAUCAUAAAUGAUAGUAUCUGGUGAUAUAAGCUCCGGCCAACUUCGUGCCAGCAGCCGCGGUAAUACGAGGGGAGCGAGUAUUGUUCGGUUUUAUUGGGCGUAAAGGGUGUCCAGGUUGCUAAGUAAGUUAACAACAAAAUCUUGAGAUUCAACCUCAUAACGUUCGGUUAAUACUACUAAGCUCGAGCUUGGAUAGAGACAAACGGAAUUCCGAGUGUAGAGGUGAAAUUCGUUGAUACUUGGAGGAACACCAGAGGCGAAGGCGGUUUGUCAUACCAAGCUGACACUGAAGACACGAAAGCAUGGGGAGCAAACAGGAUUAGAUACCCUGGUAGUCCAUGCCCUAAACGUUGAGUGCUAACAGUUCGAUCAAGCCACAUGCUAUGAUCCAGGAUUGUACAGCUAACGCGUUAAGCACUCCGCCUGGGUAUUACGACCGCAAGGUUAAAACUCAAAGGAAUUGACGGAGACCCGCACAAGCGGUGGAGCAUGUGGUUUAAUUCGAAGCUACACGAAGAACCUUACCAGCCCUUGACAUACCAUGGCCAACCAUCCUGGAAACAGGAUGUUGUUCAAGUUAAACCCUUGAAAUGCCAGGAACAGGUGCUGCAUGGCUGUUGUCAGUUCGUGUCGUGAGAUGUAUGGUUAAGUCCCAAAACGAACACAACCCUCACCCAUAGUUGCCAUAAACACAAUUGGGUUCUCUAUGGGUACUGCUAACGUAAGUUAGAGGAAGGUGAGGACCACAACAAGUCAUCAUGGCCCUUAUGGGCUGGGCCACACACAUGCUACAAUGGUGGUUACAAAGAGCCGCAACGUUGUGAGACCGAGCAAAUCUCCAAAGACCAUCUCAGUCCGGAUUGUACUCUGCAACCCGAGUACAUGAAGUAGGAAUCGCUAGUAAUCGUGGAUCAGCAUGCCACGGUGAAUACGUUCUCGGGUCUUGUACACGCCGCCCGUCACACCAUGGGAGCUUCGCUCCGAUCGAAGUCAAGUUACCCUUGACCACAUCUUGGCAAGUGACCGA